rnacentral:rRNA from 1 species
AUUGAACGCUGGCGGCAGGCCUAACACAUGCAAGCCGAACGGUAACAGGAAGAAGCUUGCUUCUUUGCUGACGAGUGGCGGACGGGUGAGUAAUGUCUGGGAAACUGCCUGAUGGAGGGGGAUAACUACUGGAAACGGUAGCUAAUACCGCAUAACGUCGCAAGACCAAAGAGGGGGACCUUCGGGCCUCUUGCCAUCGGAUGUGCCCAGAUGGGAUUAGCUAGUAGGUGGGGUAACGGCUCACCUAGGCGACGAUCCCUAGCUGGUCUGAGAGGAUGACCCGCCACACGGGAACUGAGACACGGUCCAGACUCCUACGGGAGGCAGCAGUGGGGAAUAUUGCACAAUGGGCGCAAGCCUGAUGCAGCCAUGCCGCGUGUAUGAAGAAGGCCUUCGGGUUGUAAAGUACUUUCAGCGGGGAGGAAGGGAGUAAAGUUAAUACCUUUGCUCAUUGACGUUACCCGCAGAAGAAGCACCGGCUAACUCCGUG